AGAUUGUCUUUGCUGAGGGAGAUUUUUCAUCUCCUCGACAAUGAGUGUGACACUGCGGAACUUGUGGCUUCCAAGGCCCUAAGAAAUGGAGCAUCCAGAAAUCAGUUUGGGGACCCAAAUUGUAAGUAAGACUGGGAGCCCAUCCAUAGAAGGGACAGUUGGAUGCAGAAGCAAUGCCAUCUAGGUUGAUGGCCAUCACCGGCUCCUGAGGGAAGUCCAUCUGAAGGUGGGGUGUUAGCAGGAGCAAUGAUUCAGUAAAAUAUCAGAGAAGUGGAGGGCAGGAGGUGCUGAAGAAGUUCUCACGGAUGCCGCUGCCAAGUUGCCAAGUUCCCCGCCACCACCCAUCCUACCUGCCUUGACUCAACAGAACCUGUGGGAGCGGCUGCAAAGGAAACACAAGGUGCACACAUGUGCCUUCUGCCAAGGUCAACCAUCUGGCUCUUGGAGCCAGCACCAAAUACGGGGAAAGGCUGCUGCUGUUUUGGUUUCUCACAUCACACACCCCUCCAUUUUUCUCUC